UCUGUCCUUACUCCUCAGACACCAAAGCAUACAGCACUCUUCUUAAAGACAAGGCAUUUGGAACUGUAGAUAUUGGAUUGGCCCCACUUUUUACAGCCCAAAACCAUCUGGUUCGCCAUUUUCCACGCGCAGUUCAAGCCCUUCUAGGUGCCUAAAUUGAAACAUGGAGGCAACGUUGCAGAACUGACAAGACAUCUUGCCGUAUCAAAAUGAGCAGAG